GACGUAGGGAGCAAGCGUUGUCCGGAUUUAUUGGGCGUAAAGGGCUCGUAGGCGGUUCCGUAAGUCGGAUGUGAAAACUCAAGGCUCAACCUUGAGACGCCAUUCGAUACUGCGGUGACUUGAGUUCGGUAGAGGAGUGUGGAAUUUCUGGUGUAGCGGUGAAAUGCAUAGAUAUCAGAAGGAACACCAACGGCGAAGGCAGCACUCUGGGCCGAUACUGACGCUGAGGAGCGAAAGCGUGGGGAGCGAACAGG
rnacentral:rRNA from 1 species